CAGUCUGGAGGUUUUGCAUGUGAGCUGAUCAGCACAGGAUGUCACAGCCCGAACAGCGGUAGGCGGGGUGGGGGGAUGAUGCAGAGUGUUGGAGGUACUGCUGCUUUGCCUACCUCGGUAACGUGUGUGGGUAUGCUGUCUGCGAGCGAGGCCUGGCAUGGGGGGUUGGGGCGAAGGCACACAUCUGCCACAUGAGCGUCCUCAAACAACCUGCUGAAGAUGCGUAUGUCACGCUGCAUAAAGUUUUGGAGUUAUUGAUUCUUCCUGAUAACGCCCGUAGUAAAAGAGGUUACGUAUUUAAUUAGCUUUUUUGGUGUAGCGUAGUUUUUCAUUUUAGGCGUUACCGCAUUGCCACUAUUUUCAGAAGCGACUGUGUCUUUAACUACUCGUGUUAAUAUUAUAUUUGACAGUACACCUUUCUGCGAUGACACGUGUAAUUAUUUUCUGUGAUUACAUUGUCGAUUCCGUGCCUACACCUUAAACCUAACCAUAUGCCGCCUAACCUGUCCAUAACCUCAACCACACCCAAGCUUUUUCUGCAAUUCAGUUCAACACGAAGACAACAGAUUUGAAAAUUGACUUUUUUAAAGGAACAAAUUCGUCUACAAGAGCAGCUGAAAGCAGCAGCGGUCCUCACGGAAAUUAGCACAGUCACUUGGGGAAAAAUCUUUAGUGACUCAGAGACAGAGACACCUUGGAGGGCUAAUAGAGUUUUCGAGUUUUAGUUUAUGAGGAAAACCACUCGCACAAAACAACAGAAAAGCAUAAAGGAGGCCACCGCGCAUCUAGUUUAACCAGUUAAGAGAUACGGGACGUGCUGAAGGAAGGAGGAGCUGAUAAGGAGCUAAAAAACCAAAGGGAGGAAAGAAUUCGGUGUUUUGGAAUUUUUCUGUUUUUUUCCCCCCUCAAGCAAAGAACGUUCUCUGAGUCCUGCGCCACCUGGUGGUGAAAACGUUCCUCCGGAGCGAGUUACGCUCUCGUUCUGUAUCUGUACAGUGUUCACUAUGUAGGUUAAGACCGAGCCGUUCUUCAGAGCGUCUGCUUCGUCCUCCAAUUACAAACAUCACACAGAUCACGUUUAACCUCUAAAGCCUCCGUUCGAAGCAAUAACAGUGACUCAUACUUUUUCUCAUUUUCUUGCUUCAGAGAACGCAGAGCGGACUGGAAGGCAGGAACGCCGAAAAUGUGAAAAUAUGAGUCUUUUUUUUUUUUUUUCUCCUUCGUAAUCCCACCCCUUUAGCACCCUCUAAACCUAUCAUGAACUAGUUUUCGAAACAGCCCAUUUGUUGUUGUCAUUGUCUUAAAGUGUCAAGGGAGCGGGGUCGAUCGUUAUCAGAGAAAUGCGGUUCUCCGUGUUCCGUCCCAAGAGUUCAGAUCCGCAAACCGAACAUGCAACAAAGAUUCGCUUAUGUUUUUGUUGCCUUUAAAAA